rnacentral:rRNA from 1 species
CUGCGGAGGGAUCAUUACCGAGUUUACAACUCCCAAACCCCUGUGAACAUACCACUUGUUGCCUCGGCGGAUCAGCCCGCUCCCGGUAAAACGGGACGGCCCGCCAGAGGACCCCUAAAACUCUGUUUCUAUAUGUAACUUCUGAGUAAAACCAUAAAUAAAUCAAAACUUUCAACAACGGAUCUCUUGGUUCUGGCAUCGAUGAAGAACGCAGCAAAAUGCGAUAAGUAAUGUGAAUUGCAGAAUUCAGUGAAUCAUCGAAUCUUUGAACGCACAUUGCGCCCGCCAGUAUUCUGGCGGGCAUGCCUGUUCGAGCGUCAUUUCAACCCUCAAGCACAGCUUGGUGUUGGGACUCGCGUUAAUUCGCGUUCCUCAAAUUGAUUGGCGGUCACGUCGAGCUUCCAUAGCGUAGUAGUAAAACCCUCGUUACUGGUAAUCGUCGCGGCCACGCCGUUAAACCCCAACUUCUGAAUGUGACCUCGGAUCAGGUAGAUGCCCAGUUC